AAAAAAGCAGGGUCCUUUGCUUCUUCUGGAUGGGUGUCCUUUAAACUUGAGGAUAAUUGCUUGCAUUGUUAUUUGGUGAAGUUUUAUAAGAAUUUUAGUUGCAUGAGGUUCAGUAAGUAAUAGAACAUGU